UGUGUCCAUUCACAGCAUUUGAUGUGCUGAAUUCAAAGUGAAAGAUUGUGUCUUACCUGAAAACGGACCGAAUUGGGAGUGGAAAAGGCCCUUUCACCCACCACACCCCUCCCCGCCCUAAUACAUACAUUAUUUAUUGACACGGCCAUGAUUUUUAUGCAGAGGGACCAAAUAAUGUUUAUAGAAGGAGAUAGGGUUGGUGCAAUAUGUUAACUUUUCUACUUCUUCUCCUUUUUACUACAUGAAAUGACCAGUAAGCCCUUGUUCAAGAAUGGAUUCCAUCAUUCUUGUAUGUGGUGAAAUGUCAUUUUCCAGAAAUCUUAAGGUGGAAAAGUACUUUUAAGAGAGCUCUUAUUGGUGAAACAAUACCUUCCCGGCUGAAAUUAAGUUGAGGGAGAGGCAGACAGAAUGGAGCCAGGCAAUACUUUUUUCACUUUUUUUCUUCAGAUUUUUGCUUAAAAUUAUCAAAAUAAGUUUAUGCCCCUGGAGAUUUUUGGUGUAUAGUCGUUUAUUUAUUUUGGAAUUUGAGUUAUGUUCCGUAGUUGAUAUUCUUGGCAGAAACUAUAAAACUGUAUAGAAAUUGUCAAGAUUCUGAUUUUUUUGCAUUUUUACACUUUUUUUCACUAUUAAGAUUUAAUCUGAGUUCUAUGCAAUGGAAAUCUAUUCGUGUUGUUAUUGUUGUUGUUGUUAUUAUUAUUAUUUUU
rnacentral:lncRNA from 1 species